rnacentral:lncRNA from 1 species
CCCUACACGAAAACAUGUGGAGAGGAAAAAAGGCUGGUAUGUCGAGUUCUAUUUUUGCAUUUCCAGUAGUAAGUGCUGUUCUGCAAGCUCAGAGGAAGUGGUCCCUGGCCCUUCUUAGGGCCUGUGCUAGGAGCUCUGCACCAGGCGUCUGUAAUGGGGCAUGACCUCGUGCUCCGGCAGAUGAAGAGCAAACUCCAAGGCCACUAACACUGGGAAUUCAAAGGCAAUCAGUUCUCGUCUAUUCAGCCGGAACUUCUCUUCCAGUUUCUGCAACAGAAUGAAAGGAAACCAAGAGCAUAUCAGCUUUGCAAUCAAAGUCCUUGCCUUUCUCCA